AUGAACGCUAGCUACAGGCUUAACACAUGCAAGUCGAGGGGCAGCAUGGUCUUAGCUUGCUAAGGCCGAUGGCGACCGGCGCACGGGUGAGUAACACGUAUCCAACCUGCCGUCUACUCUUGGACAGCCUUCUGAAAGGAAGAUUAAUACAAGAUGGCAUCAUGAGUCCGCAUGUUCACAUGAUUAAAGGUAUUCCGGUAGACGAUGGGGAUGCGUUCCAUUAGAUAGUAGGCGGGGUAACGGCCCACCUAGUCUUCGAUGGAUAGGGGUUCUGAGAGGAAGGUCCCCCACAUUGGAACUGAGACACGGUCCAAACUCCUACGGGAGGCAGCAGUGAGGAAUAUUGGUCAAUGGGCGAGAGCCUGAACCAGCCAAGUAGCGUGAAGGAUGACUGCCCUAUGGGUUGUAAACUUCUUUUAUAAAGGAAUAAAGUCGGGUAUGCAUACCCGUUUGCAUGUACUUUAUGAAUAAGGAUCGGCUAACUCCGUGCCAGCAGCCGCGGUAAUACGGAGGAUCCGAGCGUUAUCCGGAUUUAUUGGGUUUAAAGGGAGCGUAGAUGGAUGUUUAAGUCAGUUGUGAAAGUUUGCGGCUCAACCGUAAAAUUGCAGUUGAUACUGGAUAUCUUGAGUGCAGUUGAGGCAGGCGGAAUUCGUGGUGUAGCGGUGAAAUGCUUAGAUAUCACGAAGAACUCCGAUUGCGAAGGCAGCCUGCUAAGCUGCAACUGACAUUGAGGCUCGAAAGUGUGGGUAUCAAACAGGAUUAGAUACCCUGGUAGUCCACACGGUAAACGAUGAAUACUCGCUGUUUGCGAUAUACGGCAAGCGGCCAAGCGAAAGCGUUAAGUAUUCCACCUGGGGAGUACGCCGGCAACGGUGAAACUCAAAGGAAUUGACGGGGGCCCGCACAAGCGGAGGAACAUGUGGUUUAAUUCGAUGAUACGCGAGGAACCUUACCCGGGCUUAAAUUGCAGAUGAAUUACGGUGAAAGCCGUAAGCCGCAAGGCAUCUGUGAAGGUGCUGCAUGGUUGUCGUCAGCUCGUGCCGUGAGGUGUCGGCUUAAGUGCCAUAACGAGCGCAACCCUUGUUGUCAGUUACUAACAGGUUCUGCUGAGGACUCUGACAAGACUGCCAUCGUAAGAUGUGAGGAAGGUGGGGAUGACGUCAAAUCAGCACGGCCCUUACGUCCGGGGCUACACACGUGUUACAAUGGUAGGUACAGAGGGCCGCUACCCCGUGAGGGGAUGCCAAUCUCGAAAGCCUAUCUCAGUUCGGAUCGGAGGCUGAAACCCGCCUCCGUGAAGUUGGAUUCGCUAGUAAUCGCGCAUCAGCCAUGGCGCGGUGAAUACGUUCCCGGGCCUUGUACACACCGCCCGUCAAGCCAUGGGAGCCGGGGGUACCUGAAGUGCGUAACCGCGAGGAGCGCCCUAGGGUAAAACUGGUGACUGGGGCU
rnacentral:rRNA from 1 species